rnacentral:rRNA from 1 species
GACGAACGCUGGCGGCGUGCCUAAUACAUGCAAGUAGAACGCUGAAGGAGGAGCUUGCUUCUCUGGAUGAGUUGCGAACGGGUGAGUAACGCGUAGGUAACCUGCCUGGUAGCGGGGGAUAACUAUUGGAAACGAUAGCUAAUACCGCAUAAUAGCAGUUGUUGCAUGACAACUGUUUGAAAGGUGCAAUUGCACCACUACCAGAUGGACCUGCGUUGUAUUAGCUAGUUGGUGGGGUAACGGCUCACCAAGGCGACGAUACAUAGCCGACCUGAGAGGGUGAUCGGCCACACUGGGACUGAGACACGGCCCAGACUCCUACGGGAGGCAGCAGUAGGGAAUCUUCGGCAAUAGACGGAAGUCUGACCGAGCAACGCCGCGUGAGUGAAGAAGGUUUUCGGAUCGUAAAGCUCUGUUGUAAGAGAAGAACGAGUGUGAGAGUGGAAAGUUCACACUGUGACGGUAUCUUACCGGAAAGGGACGGCUAACUACGUG